rnacentral:rRNA from 1 species
CGCGGACUAUACAUGCAGUCGAGCGGACAGAAGGGAGCUGUCCCGGAUGUUAGCGGCGGACGGGUGAAAACACGUGGGUAACCUGCCUGUAAGACUGGGAUAACUCCGGGAAACCGGAGCUAAUACCGGAUAGUUCCUUGAACCGCAUGGUUCAAGGAUGAAAGACGGUUUCGGCUGUCACUUACAGAUGGACCCGCGGCGCAUUAGCUAGUUGGUGGGGUAAUGGCUCACCAAGGCGACGAUGCGUAGCCGACCUGAGAGGGUGAUCGGCCACACUGGGACUGAGACACGGCCCAGACUCCUACGGGAGGCAGCAGUAGGGAAUCUUCCGCAAUGGACGAAAGUCUGACGGAGCAACGCCGCGUGAGUGAUGAAGGUUUUCGGAUCGUAAAGCUCUGUUGUUAGGGAAGAACAAGUGCGAGAGUAACUGCUCGCACCUUGACGGUACCUAACCAGAAAGCCACGGCUAACUACGUGCCAGCAGCCGCGGUAAUACGUAGGUGGCAAGCGUUGUCCGGAAUUAUUGGGCGUAAAGGGCUCGCAGGCGGUUUCUUAAGUCUGAUGUGAAAGCCCCCGGCUCAACCGGGGAGGGUCAUUGGAAACUGGGAAACUUGAGUGCAGAAGAGGAGAGUGGAAUUCCACGUGUAGCGGUGAAAUGCGUAGAGAUGUGGAGGAACACCAGUGGCGAAGGCGACUCUCUGGUCUGUAACUGACGCUGAGGAGCGAAAGCGUGGGGAGCGAACAGGAUUAGAUACCCUGGUAGUCCACGCCGUAAACGAUGAGUGCUAAGUGUUAGGGGGUUUCCGCCCCUUAGUGCUGCAGCUAACGCAUUAAGCACUCCGCCUGGGGAGUACGGUCGCAAGACUGAAACUCAAAGGAAUUGACGGGGGCCCGCACAAGCGGUGGAGCAUGUGGUUUAAUUCGAAGCAACGCGAAGAACCUUACCAGGUCUUGACAUCCUCUGACAACCCUAGAGAUAGGGCUUUCCCUUCGGGGACAGAGUGACAGGUGGUGCAUGGGUUGUCGUCAGCUCGUGUCGUGAGAUGUUGGGUUAAGUCCCGCACGAGCGCAACCCUUGAUCUUAGUGGCAGCAUUCAGGUGGUCACUCUAAGGUGAACUGCCCGGUGACAAAACCG